rnacentral:rRNA from 1 species
UACGGAAGGGUGCAAGCGUUACUCGGAAUUACUGGGCGUAAAGCGUGCGUAGGUGGUUUGUUAAGUCUGAUGUGAAAGCCCUGGCUCAACCUGGGAAUUGCAUUGGAUACUGGCAGGCUAGAGUGCGGUAGGAGGAUGGCGGAAUUCCCGGGUGUAGCAGUGAAAUGCGUAGAGAUCGGGAGGAACAUCUGUGGCGAAGGCGGCCAUCUGGACCAGCACUGACACUGAGCACGGAAAGCGUGGG